AUGCAAGUCGAGCGGUAAGGCCCUUCGGGGUACACGAGCGGCGAACGGGUGAGUAACACGUGAGCAAUCUGCCCUUCUCUUUGGAAUAACCAUUGGAAACGAUGGCUAAUGCCGAAUAUGACCUCCUUUCGCAUGUUUGGAGGUGGAAAGCUCCGGCGGAGAUGGAUGAGCUCGCGGCCUAUCAGCUUGUUGGUGAGGUAAUGGCUCACCAAGGCAUUGACGGGUAGCCGGCCUGAGAGGGUGACCGGCCACACUGGGACUGAGACACGGCCCAGACUCCUACGGGAGGCAGCAGUGGGGAAUAUUGGACAAUGGGCGAAAGCCUGAUCCAGCAACGCCGCGUGAGGGAUGACGGCCUUCGGGUUGUAAACCUCUUUCAGCAGGGACGAAGCGAGAGUGACGGUACCUGCAGAAGAAGGACCGGCCAACUACGUGCCAGCAGCCGCGGUAAUACGUAGGGUCCGAGCGUUGUCCGGAAUUAUUGGGCGUAAAGGGCUCGUAGGCGGUUUGUCGCGUCGGGAGUGAAAACUCAGGGCUCAACCCUGAGCGUGCUUCCGAUACGGGCAGACUAGAGGUAUGCAGGGGAGAACGGAAUUCCUGGUGUAGCGGUGGAAUGCGCAGAUAUCAGGAGGAACACCGGUGGCGAAGGCGGUUCUCUGGGCAUUACCUGACGCUGAGGAGCGAAAGCGUGGGGAGCGAAC
rnacentral:rRNA from 1 species